AUAUCUAGACAUGAAAUUGGUUUUAUGGCCACUUGACAACUAGGAUCAAGAGAUUACUAAAAUUUUUGGUUGGUGAUGAGUGUGCAAGCAUGAGUGUGACUGAGUGUGCAAGGCGAGUGUGUGCACCCACCCCUGUGCCCCUUCCCCACCUACACCUUGAUAUUAUUUGAUAAGGUCGAACCCUCACCCCCGCCCCCAGGUUCGACCUGAGAUGAGAAAAACCUCCCUCCUGUGAAGCCCUGUGCAGUGAGGCCUUCAUCGAGGUGGUGGCAUCAUCACCUGAGGCUCUAGAUAGGUCCCGGCCCAGAGUCGGUCCAAGGGGUCAGUGCUUGGAUGUGAUGAAUUGCUCAGGUAGACAAAACCCGGAGGUUCGCCUCCUGGGUCACUGAUUUAUCAAAGACAAUUCUGAUCUGA